rnacentral:rRNA from 1 species
CCUACGGGUGGCACCAGUGGGGAAUUUUCCGCAAUGGGCGAAAGCCUGACGGAGCAAUGCCGCGUGUGUGAAGAAGGUCUUCGGAUUGUAAAGCACUUUCGACGGGGACGAUGAUGACGGUACCCGUAGAAGAAGCCCCGGCUAACUUCGUGCCAGCAGCCGCGGUAAUACGAAGGGGGCUAGCCUUGCUCGGAAUGACUGGGCGUAAAGGGCGCGUAGGCGGUUUAUGCAGUCAGAUGUGAAAUCCCCGGGCUUAACCUGGGAACUGCAUUUGAGACGCAUAGACUAGAGGUCGAGAGAGGGUUGUGGAAUUCCCAGUGUUGAGGUGAAAUUCGUAGAUAUUGGGAAGAACACCGGUGGCGAAGGCGGCCCCCUGGACGAAGACUGACGCUCAGGUGCGAAAGCGUGGGGAGCAAACAGGAUUAGAUACCCGUGUAGUC